GUGCCUGAAGCCUGGCUUUGCCGAACACCCUGCUGCCUGCCACUCUCUAACUUGUAAACAACUGGGCUAGAAAUAUGCUGCUCAACUGGGGUUCAUAACGGUGGAGAAUUUCUGUAUCUAUUGCAGACCAGACCAUAGAAUCUUCCAGGUGCAACGAGAUCUAAAUUUCAAAGCAGGGCUGUGCAACCCUAUCUGAAUCCACUGGCAUUUCCGAAGGCAGCAUGGCAACAAGGGAGAGACGCAAGACGCAUUCCUAACCAGGACCAAGAUAGCUUUUUCCCAUAACUCUCGGGCAGUGGGAACAUAGCAGCUUUGCAGAGUGGUGCUGUGUCUAAAGUUAAAAUAACCGGAGGGACAGAGCAGGGCAUUUCAAUGGGAUUAUUGUAAUUGGUGCUUUUACUCCAAAUUAAG